AUUGAACGCUGGCGGCAGGCCUAACACAUGCAAGUCGAGCGGAUGAAGGGAGCUUGCUCCUGGAUUCAGCGGCGGACGGGCGAGUAAUGCCUAGGAAUCUGCCUGGUAGUGGGGGAUAACGUCCGGAAACGGGCGCUAAUACCGCAUACGUACUGAGGGAGAAAGUGGGGGAUCUUCGGACCUCACGCUAUCAGAUGAGCCUAGGUCGGAUUAGCUAGUUGGUGGGGUAAAGGCCUACCAAGGCGACGAUCCGUAACUGGUCUGAGAGGAUGAUCAGUCACACUGGAACUGAGACACGGUCCAGACUCCUACGGGAGGCAGCAGUGGGGAAUAUUGGACAAUGGGCGAAAGCCUGAUCCAGCCAUGCCGCGUGUGUGAAGAAGGUCUUCGGAUUGUAAAGCACUUUAAGUUGGGAGGAAGGGCAGUAAGUUAAUACCUUGCUGUUUUGACGUUACCAACAGAAUAAGCACCGGCUAACUUCGUG
rnacentral:rRNA from 1 species